AGCCAUGCAUGUCUAAGUACAUGCCGUAUCAAGGCGAAACCGCGAAUGGCUCAUUAAAUCAGUUAUGGUUCCUUGGAUCGUACCUUACUACUUGGAUAACUGUGGCAAUUCUAGAGCUAAUACAUGCAGCAGAGCUCCAACCUUCGGGGACGAGCGCUUUUAUUAGACCAAAACCAAUCGGACCUCGUGUCCGUCUAUUGUGGUGACUCUGUAUAACUUUGGGCUGAUCGCACGGGCCUGUCCCGGCGACGUAUCCUUCAAGUGUCUGCCUUAUCAACUUUCGAUGGUAGGUUACGCGCCUACCAUGGUCGUAACGGGUAACGGGGAAUCAGGGUUCGAUUCCGGAGAGGGAGCCUGAGAAACGGCUACCACAUCCAAGGAAGGCAGCAGGCGCGCAAAUUACCCACUCCCAGAACGGGGAGGUAGUGACGAAAAAUAACAAUACGGGACUCUAUUGAGACCCCGUAAUUGGAAUGAGUACACUCUAAAUCCUUUAACGAGGAUCCAUUAGAGGGCCAGUCUGGUGCCAGCCGCCGCGGUAAUUCCAGCUCUAAUAGCGUAUAUUAAAGUUGUUGCGGUUAAAAAGCUCGUAGUUGGAUCUCAGUUCCAGACGGGUGGUCCGCCUACCGGUGGUUACUGCCUGUUCUGAACAGCCAGCCGGUUUCUCUUGAUGAUCUUCACCGGUUGUCUUGGGUGACCGGCAAGUUUACUUUGAAAAAAUUAGAGUGCUCAAGGCAGGCGUGACGCCUGAAUAAUGGUGCAUGGAAUAAUGGAAUAGGACCUCGGUUCUAUUUUGUUGGUUUUCGGAACACGAGGUAAUGAUUAAGAGGGACAGACGGGGGCAUUCGUAUUGCGACGCUAGAGGUGAAAU
rnacentral:rRNA from 1 species